AAUUUUGCGCAGUGGCAGUAUCGUACCCAAUGAGGUUUAUCCGAGGUGCGAUUAUUGCUAAUUUAAAAAAAAAUGAGUUUUAAAUGCUA
rnacentral:snRNA from 1 species